rnacentral:rRNA from 1 species
UGAGCAAUCUGCCCAUCUCUUUGGAAUAAGCGUUGGAAACGACGUCUAAUGCCGAAUACGACCUCCUUUCGCAUGAUCGGAGGUGGAAAGCUCCGGCGGAGAUGGAUGAGCUCGCGGCCUAUCAGCUAGUCGGUGAGGUAACGGCCCACCAAGGCGACGACGGGUAGCUGGUCUGAGAGGAUGGCCAGCCACAUUGGGACUGAGAUACGGCCCAGACUCCGUAACGGGG